GGCCGCGGUAUAAUGACCGUGCGAAGGUAGCAUAAUAAUUAGUCUUUUAAUUGAAGACUGGAAUGAAAGGUUGGACAAAGAGUAAUCUGUCUUAAACAUAAAAAUUGAAGUUAACCUUUAAGUGAAAAGGCUUAAAUAAUCUUAAAAGACGAUAAGACCCUAUAAAACUUUAUAUAAAUAGAUUUGCUUCUUAAUUUAUUAGUUUUAACUAGAAUUAAAUUUAUUUAUAUUUCAUUGGGGCGAUGAAAGUAUAUAAAUAACUGCUUUACGUUUAAUACAAUAAUAUUUGAACCUACUGACCCUUUUUUAAGAUCCAAAGAAAAAGUUACUUUAGGGAUAACAGCGUAAUUUUUUUUAAGAGUUCAUAUCGACAAAAAAGUUUGCGACCUCGAUGUUGAAUUAAAAUAUCCUUAUAGUGCAGCAAUUAUAAAGGUAGGUCUGUUCGACCUUUAAA
rnacentral:rRNA from 1 species